UACGUAGGGGGCGAGCGUUAAUCGGAAUUACUGGGCGUAAAGCGUGCGCAGGCGGCUUGUUAAGUCAGAUGUGAAAUCCCCGGGCUUAACCUGGGAACUGCAUUUGUGACUGGCAAGCUAGAGUAUGGCAGAGGGGAGUGGAAUUCCACGUGUAGCAGUGAAAUGCGUAGAGAUGUGGAGGAAUGCCGGUGGCGAAGGCGGCCCCCUGGGCCAAUACUGACGCUCAUGCACGAAAGCGUGGGGAGCAAACAGG
rnacentral:rRNA from 1 species